GGCCGGCUGGCGCAAUGGUAGCGCUUCAGACUUCUACCUUCUCGUUCCCGAGAUGUGGUUAUCUGGAGGUUGUGGGUUCGAGCCCCACGUUGGUCA